AACGAACGCUGGCGGCAUGCCUAACACAUGCAAGUCGAACGAGACCUUCGGGUCUAGUGGCGCACGGGUGCGUAACGCGUGGGAACCUGCCCUUAGGUUCGGAAUAACUCCCCGAAAGGGGUGCUAAUACCGGAUCAUGUCUUCGGACCAAAGAUUUAUCGCCUUUGGAUGGGCCCGCGUUGGAUUAGCUAGUUGGUAGGGUAAAAGCCUACCAAGGCGACGAUCCAUAGCUGGUCUGAGAGGAUGAUCAGCCACACUGGGACUGAGACACGGCCCAGACUCCUACGGGAGGCAGCAGUGGGGAAUAUUGGACAAUGGGCGAAGGCCUGAUCCAGCAAUGACGCGUGAGUGAUGAAGGCCUUAGGGUUGUAAAGCUCUUUUACCCGGGAUGAUAAUGACAGUACCGGGAGAAUAAGCUCCGGCUAACUCCGUG
rnacentral:rRNA from 1 species